rnacentral:tRNA from 1 species
CCCUGGGUGGUGCAAAGAGUUAAUGCGUUUGGCUAUUAAGCAAAAGUUUGGUGGUUCAAGUCCACUCAGAGGUA